UUUUAUAAUAAAAUCAUUUUUAUUUGUAUAGGUUUUUGUAUAGGUUAUAGAUAGAAUUUUUAAUUUGAUAGUUAAUUUGUAUUGUGAAAGGUUGUUGAAAUAAUUUUAAAAUUUAAUUUUUGUUAAGUAGUUUUAUUUUAACGUACCUUGUGUAUCAGGGUUUAUUAAAAAAUUUUUAAUUAAUUUAAAUUUCCCGAUUUGAAGAGAGCUAAAUAAUACUGUUAUUUGUUGUGGAAUAAACAUUAAUGAGUAUUAUUUAGAAAUGAAACGUUAUUCGUUCUUUAAGAUAUCUGGUUUUUUGAGAAAUAAAUUUAAUUUAGUUGUUGAUUUUCAUUAAAUUUAUUUAUUAAUUUAAUGUUGUUCAAUGUAAAUAUUCAGGGGGAUAAGCUCUUGAAUAUUAUUUAGAGGUAUAUUAAUAUAGUGGAAAAUUAAAUAGGCUUAGAAUUAGCCAUUUUAAGUGUGUUAUAACUUUAUUUUUUUGAAGUGUUAUUUAUUUUUAAUCUUAAGUUUUUUAUCAAAAUUUUUCAAUUAAUUUUUAAUUGUCAGUAAUAAUGAUGAAAUUAGUAUAAAUAGUUGUUGGAGUUAUAAUGUAAUUUUAUUGUAAGGUUAUAUUAAGGAAUUAGGCAAAUUAAUGCUCGCCUGUUUAACAAAAACAUGUCUUCAUGAAAAUUGAUGUGAAGUCUGACCUGCCCACUGAAAAUUAAUUUAAAGGGCCGCGGUAUUUUGACCGUGCAAAGGUAGCAUAAUCAUUAGUCUUUUAAUUGAAGGCUAGAAUGAAUGGUUGGACGAGGUAUUGACUGUCUCAAUAUAAUUGGAAUUAGAAUUUAACUUUUAAGUUAAAAGGCUUAAAUUAGUUUAAAGGACGAGAAGACCCUAUAGAGCUUUAUAUUUAAAUAAUUAAUUUAUGUUUGGGGGUAUUUUUAUUGUAGUUUUUAAAAUAUUUUGUUGGGGUGACAGGAAGAUUAAAUAAACUCUUUUAUUAGGUUUAACACGGAUUAGUGAUAGUUUGAUCCAUUUUUAGUGAUUAUAAGACUAAGUUACCUUAGGGAUAACAGCGUAAUCUUUUUUGAGAGUUCUUAUCGACAAGAAGGGUUGCGACCUCGAUGUUGGAUUAAAGGUAAUUUUGGGUGUAGAAGUUCAAAUUUUGGGUCUGUUCGACCCUUAAAUCUUUACAUGAUCUGAGUUCAGACCGGCGUAAGCCAGGUCGGUUUCUAUCCUUAAUUUAUUUAUGAUACUUUAGUACGAAAGGACCAAGUAUUGGGAAAAAUUAUUCUUUAGAAUAUUGAUUUAAAAUAAUAGU
rnacentral:rRNA from 1 species